GUGCAGGGCAAGAACGAGGGGAGCAAGACGGGGCUCGGACUCUUUGAGAAUUGUAGUACAAAAUGAUGUCUUAGUCCCAACGUAGGCACCACAUCUCAAAUAGAAGUCAUAACAGGAACGUAAGACACUACCUACCUGGGAUUCCUUAACUUAAAUAGUCUCUGUCUUCAGACAGAGGAACUCUCAGACAUUAAGAAAGGGUUGCACCAGCUCAAGGCCUAAAGUUCCAGAGCUGUGUGGACUGAAAAUCUACAGGCACUUGGGGCCAUCACUAAGUAUCUACUAAGCACCUACUAUCGCCAGGUCUCAUUCCAGAUACUGGUGGUACAGCAGUGAGCUAAAUAGACCCUACAAGAUUCUUAAGAGAUUGGGAGAAUCUAAUUAAAUUUCCGGCCACUCGCCCUGGUUAAUUCAGCCUGCCUAAUUGUUAAAUUUCUACAAAGCUCCCCUCUGCUUCGUUGCCAUGCUGCAGAUAGGUGUCAGUGCCUGUGGGACCUGAGCAUCCGAAGGUUCAAGAGAAAGAAGAGGUUAGCUUUGAAACACUGCCUGGAAAUGACAGCACCACUCGUUCCCCAGCUGCCAGAGAGAGGAUCCCCAUUGUGACCUGAGCAUCAUGGCGGAGUGAGGGGUUCCUUUGUCUCUCUCCAAUAAGUUACAGCCAAAGCACACCAUUAACCAACAGAAGAUUCCCUACACAGCACAACAGGAUACCUGAGAGGUCCAGGCAGCUGCACAUCUGAAGAGUGACUGUAGCUGGAAAGGAAAUUUGCGAGUGAAGAUAUGAACCUCGGAAUGAAUCCCAAGCUUGAGAAGAGAGAAUACGCCUGUUCCUCACACUGGCAUCAGACGCAGGUCAAAAAUGAGCCUGAGUAGCUCCUGUUUGGUGAGAUAAAAUCCUGUCUUGGAAGGCAGGGAGAAGGGGACAAGCAGACCAUGGUGACAACAGGAACAGGCGCUGGCAGCUUCGGCCACUGCAGCCAGACACCCGUUUUCACCCCCGGGUCUCCUCCAGCAGUUGUCUCCUCAGUGCCUGUCCUCUGCGCGUAUUUCAGGCAGCAAAGAUGUUGCCCAGUUCGUCUUGGCAGCAGCGCUACAAGUUUGUCAGUCCAGCACCAUGAUCCUGUUUCACAAAUGGAGAAACUGAGAGUCAAUGCAAUUACAGGUUUCCCCCGUUACCUGAAAGUUUGCUUUACACUGCUUUGUUUUACGAAAAACCCAC
rnacentral:lncRNA from 1 species